rnacentral:rRNA from 1 species
UACGUAGGGUGCAAGCGUUGUCCGGAAUCAUUGGGCGUAAAGCGCGCGUAGGUGGCCCGGUAAGUCCGCUCUGAAAGUCAAAGGCUCAACCUUUGAAAGCGGGUGGAUACUGUCGGGCUAGAGUCCGGAAGAGGCGAGUGGAAUUCCUGGUGUAGCGGUGGAAUGCGCAGAUAUCAGGAGGAACACCAACGGCGAAGGCAGCUCGCUGGGACGGUACUGACACUAAGGCGCGAAAGCGUGGGGAGCGAACAGG